GUAGCUCAUGGAGGUACCUCCCCGGCCUCAACGUUUAAUAAGUGCCCGCUUGUAGGGGCUUUAACAGAAAAAGAAAAAAGAAAGAGCAAGAGGAGACGAGCGCACAGGCGCCUUGAGCACGAAACGGCGUCCGCGAGGACUCCGGCCCGCGCUGCCUGCCCGGCCGCCUCCUGCCUCCGCGUCGCCCGCCCCUCCCGGCUGCACCCUCCGCCGCGCCCCGGGGAGGGGGGUUCCUGGCCCAGCAGGGCCCCUGCCCCGUGCAGCCGCCUGGGCCCCGGGGUCGGCAGGGUGAGGCCCGGGGACGCCGGGGACACAGGAUGGAGAGGGCGGGAGCCCCAAGCAGCCGCUGGGAGACGCGCUGGCGUGUGCUGGGGCUUCCCGCCGGCCUCUCCGCCCGCCCAGCUUCCAGGGCCGCCAUCCGUGGCUGCGUGUCGGCGUGUCGCUGUGCGCACCUGCCCGCCACAUCAUCCAAGGGUGGCUGAGGCGCGGGGGGCGGCCCACGAGUCAGUGCGCAAGGGCACAGGGCGGGGCCCCCGCGCCGGUGGGGGCAGCCCGGGGCCCCUCGGACACUUCUGGGAGGGGCCACGGAGGCCCGGUGCUGGGGACCCACAGCUCACCGGAGAGCCCGUGACCCUCGGAUGCUCGCGGCUCAGUCCUGUUUUCGGGUCUUACGGCCUCCGUGGGACCGGGGCCCCUGGAGUCCGGGGCUGGCGGUCCCCGGAGCCACACAGCUGGGCUCUAACCCUCCUUCUCCGGGCGCUUGGUGCCUGUGGCUGGGCCGACAGAGGUCGCGGCGGGCCGUGGACCACUCCGCUGGCAGCUGGGAGCCGCUUGGAGGGGCCCAAGGGGCCGGGGGGGGGCGCAGGGGGCGCGGGGAGACGACAGGGGGCGCUCGGCCGGGGCCAGCGCGCGGCAGGAGUCGGGGUGCGGGGGUGCGCGGGAGACGGACAGGGGGGCGCUGGCCGGGGGCCCCAGCGCGGGCCGGAGCGGGGGGCGGGGGGCGCGGUGAGGGGACGACAGGGGGGCGCUCGACGGGGCGCAGCGGGCGGAGCGGAGGGGGGGGGCGCAGAAGGGGCGCCGUCGCGGGGCGGGAGCGCG
rnacentral:lncRNA from 1 species